GCAUAUUAAUAUAAGAAAUAACACAAUAUUUCAAUACAAAAAUAUAUCAAAGUGUACUAUAGUUUUACAAACUAAAUUGAAAUGUCAUUCACUUCAACCAUUACGAUUACAAGAAACUUCAAAUCUUGCUUGAACUUCAAAUCACUACAAAAACUUGCUUAAACUUCAAAUCACUAGCAUCCAAACUCAAGAUAGGAUCUGCAACAGUUCAUGAAACUCAGCGGAUUUCACUACGAUAUCACCUGGCUGCAAAGAGAAAUACACAAUAAGCGACUUCAUCCAAACUCAAAACAUGGAUGAAUAUAGCAUACUUGAUGAAUUUAGUACUACCAGCCAGUUAAGUUAUAUGGUGGAAUAAGACAUGUUAGUUGACAAGAAUAUAUUACAACAAUAACAACAUAAUACACAGUGAAAUUUCACAAGCGGGUUUGGGAAAGGUAGAAUAUACGCACAAGUAAUGACUUAUCCCCAGUUACGCUUGUCAGGGAGCAAAAGGAAAACAAUUACUAUUGUUUAUGUCCAGCCAAAUAAUACAACUUACAGAGUUAAGAGCCUGCUCAAGAAAUACAUCAGUAGCUACCUUUUUGUGUAACUCAAACCAAUUGGGUCUGCGAUGGCCACAAGCCACUACUCCCCUGUACUAAUUUUACUUUUUAAUGAAAUGCUUCAUAUUUCCUUACCAAAAAAAAAGUAACAACAAAUGGGUCCUAGUUAGAUAAAGUCUAAAGAUUAAUUCAUUGGGAAAAGAAAUUAAUUAGUAAUAUCUAUAUGGCUAGAUCUCACAUUAGUUGUACACUGAAAUGUACCUCUAAUCCUUAAUUCUUUGAAGUAUCAAAGUUCCAGAGAAAAAGAUUUUACUUACCAAUGCCAACCACCUUGCUAUGCCUAUAUAACAUAAUUAUAGGUGCAGUAAGUUCUCAAGACAAUGUAAAAUAUUCAUUAAACAACACCAACAACUAUAUAAAAGCUAUAACUUGAAAUGUAAAAGUCCAACUAGUGAAUUAGAAAAUACCAGUUACUAUUCAGAUGAUCAAUUAUAAUUUUUUGAAAAGGCACAAUUACUAAAAAUAAUGUGACCUCUCAAAACUGAACAUGAGUCUAAUGAUGCUUAGGAUUGGGUCUGUUGGGAGAAAUUGAAUUUUGCUUGCAAAAAGAGUCCACUGGCCAUCCAAGAUGUAAUCUUGGCAAUAAUCUUGUCCACUAAGGGUUUAAUUGGACUAUUGUAAGCCUUUUAGGUGUCGUUUAAUACAAAGAUUAAUAAUGUAGGGAUUAGUAAUGCAAGGUUCCUUAGUAAAAUUGUUUGGCACACCUAGAUAUUUGAAACAGAGUUCUCCAACCUCAUAUCCAAGCAUAGUCAAGAUGGUUUCCUUAGUAAAUUUGUUAAUACCUUCAAAACAUACCUGACUUUUCAAAAUGAUGGUCUUCAAAUCAGAAGCAUCAGAAAACAUAUUGAAUUUACCCCUCGAUAGUUGUAGUUGUAUAGAUCUGACAUCUCAUCUAGUAAAUAUAGUAAGUCAACAGCAACAAAGUACUGAUUCAAAACUGAUGUCAACAUCUAGAUGGAAAAAAAUGUUUCAUCAAACUUUCUUAGUUGUAAAUCAGCACAACUACAAAGAAAAAAGACAUUCUUGCAACUCUUCCAAAUCUGUUUGGGUUAAAGGAAUUUUGCAUUUAACUAUCAUUCCAUCUUCACUAACUAUCUAAAGGACAAAAUCAAAUAAAAAAAUACAAUAAACUCACAAGAUUUGUAGAGCGUCGCAGAACUUGAGCGAGUUGUGCAUGACUGCUUAUAAGAGCUUUUAUCUUCUUCAACAAUGCAGCCACAAAUAUUGACACUAUAGCACGAAAAAAUAGUGCAAACUGUCUUAAAGAAAGAUCUCAUCAGAAAAAUGAGAACCAAAUUUAAAAAGAAUAGCUGAAAAGUAGAUGAAACUUACGGAAAUAGCUGGGAAUAUAGACGAAAUCAGGUUCAGUAAUGUGGGAGGAGAUAGUGGUGGGAGUGACGUCUUUGGGAUCGGUGGCAAAAGGGAUGGUUGGGUUUGGGGACAAUUCCAGUUGUUGGGGAUGAUCGUAACAUGUAUACUCAAUAUACUCGAUAUGGUUAGUCAAUCGAUAAAGUGAAACAACCUUAUGGUGCUACUUCUAAUCCUACACAGGCUGAUGACGCGACAAGAAAGAACAGUUCAUCAUCAAACAAGUUGAAAACACCACAUUUCUCCAAUAUCACCACCUUAUAACAUAGAAACAAAUAUCAUAUCUCUCAAAUUUACCAGAUUCACUUACAACUAACAAAAAUCAAUUAAGAAGUUAAUCUAUCCAACCAAAAAAUCAAUUACUAGCAAGUUAUUCUCUAUGUAAACCUUAUUUAAUUAGAUUAUCCAUAUUGAAACCCUAAAGAAUCGAAGUUUAGGGGAAAUCCAAAAAGUACAAUAGUUAUAAACCUUAGAAAGAGCUGAAGCUUCUCCAUGGUGCAGGACGUAGGGCAACGAGCCUAUUGGAGCAUUCUUUUACUCCAAAAUCGGCGAAGAUAUUGCAGAUUUUCUGAAACUAAAAUAGAUUCAAAAUACAAAUCUCAAAACUUUUUACAAACAAUUUGAAGUUGAGAAAAAAAAAAUCAGUUGAUUUAUAGAUUGAAAAUGCAUGAAAAUGAGGAAAAGAGAACUCAUUUUUGAAGCUUUCGAUGUCUAAAUUAAGGAGCAAUUGUUAAAUAGAGAGAAAUUGGGAAGUAAGAGAGGAGAAGAGAAGUAUGAACCAACGAUACCGCCAAUCGCCACCGCCGCCUCCAUCUUUUCCUACUCCGACCACUGUUAUUGUGGAUGAAGACAGUGAUAGCUCCGCCACCAUGGAUUCGCCACCGUGCCGCCUCCAUCACUUCCUACUCCAACCCUAAUUAUCAUAUGAAAAUUGAUCAGUUCGGGAUCGCAGAAAAUAGAAUGAAACUUUUUUUUAUUUGGGGAUUAAAUGAGCAACGAUAUAAAAUUUUAUUUUUUAGGAUAGCGGCGGGUAAUAACCCCACAAAUUCUACUAAAAUUAUAGGGGUUAAUCAAACCUCCGUAAUUUGAUGUAAUUUGUGGGGGUUGAGUUAACCUCCAUUAUAAAACCUCUAGGAUUUAAGUGUUUUUUUGUAGUGGAU
rnacentral:lncRNA from 1 species